rnacentral:rRNA from 1 species
GAUGAACGCUAGCGGCAGGCCUAAUACAUGCAAGUCGAACGAACUUAAGAGGCUUGCUCCUUUCUUAAGUGGCGCACGGGUGCGUAACGCGUAUGCAACUUACCUUAAUCAGGGGCUUAGCUCGAUGAAAUUCGGCUUAAGACCGAAUAGAAACACAGGAUAGCAUUAUGCAUCGUUCAAAUAUUUCUUGUUUUAAGAUCCUCAUGCGUGUCAUCAGCUCGUUGGCGUGGUAACGUACCACCAAGGCGACGCUACCCAGGCGAUCGGAGAGGAGGAUCCGACACACUGGAAUGGUGACACGGUACAGACCACAACGGGAGGCAGCAGUGGGGAAUAUUAUACAAGGGGAGAAAGCCUGAUCUAGCCACGCCGCGUGGCGGACGAAGGUCCUCGCAUCUUAAACCUCUACUACUUGGGAAGAAGAAUAGUACUUUCAACGUUUAAGGAGCUGACGGUACCGAAUGAAUAAGCAUCGGCUAACUCCGUG